GUUCAGUUUAAAUUAUUUAAACACAACGCAGAAAUGUUUCACUUUCACAAUAACGUCUUUAAUUUAACUUCAUUAAAAAAUACUACGUAAAUAGUAGU